rnacentral:rRNA from 1 species
UACAGAGGGUGCAAGCGUUACUCGGAAUUCCUGGGCGUAAAGCGCGCGUAGGUGGUUUGUUAAGUUGGAUGUGAAAUCCCCGGGCUCAACCUGGGAACUGCAUUCAAAACUGACAAGCUAGAGUAUGGUAGAGGGUGGUGGAAUUUCCUGUGUAGCGGUGAAAUGCGUAGAUAUAGGAAGGAACACCAGUGGCGAAGGCGACCACCUGGACUGAUACUGACACUGAGGUGCGAAAGCGUGGGGAGCAAACAGG